GACGAACGCUGGCGGCGUGCCUAAUACAUGCAAGUUGAGCGCUGAAGGUUGGUACUUGUACCAACUGGAUGAGCAGCGAACGGGUGAGUAACGCGUGGGGAAUCUGCCUUUGAGCGGGGGACAACAUUUGGAAACGAAUGCUAAUACCGCAUAAAAACUUUAAACACAAGUUGUAAGUUUGAAAGAUGCAAUUGCAUCACUCAAAGAUGAUCCCGCGUUGUAUUAGCUAGUUGGUGAGGUAAAGGCUCACCAAGGCGAUGAUACAUAGCCGACCUGAGAGGGUGAUCGGCCACAUUGGGACUGAGACACGGCCCAAACUCCUACGGGAGGCAGCAGUAGGGCAUCUUCGGCAAUGGACGAAAGUCUGACCGAGCAACGCCGCGUGAGUGAAGAAGGUUUUCGGAUCGUAAAACUCUGUUGGUAGAGAAGAACGUUGGUGAGAGUGGAAAGCUCAUCAAGUGACGGUAACUACCCAGAAAGGGACGGCUAACUACGUG
rnacentral:rRNA from 1 species